rnacentral:lncRNA from 1 species
GGAUGAGGAGGGGAUGAAGGAGGAUGAGGAGGGGAUGAAGGAGGAUGAGGAGGGGAUGAAGGAGGAUGAGGAGGGGAUGAAGGAGGAUGAGGAGGGGAUGAAGGAGGAUGAGGAGGGGAUGAAGGAGGAUGAGGAGGGGAUGAAGGAGGAUGAGGAGGGGAUGAAGGAGGAUGAGGAGGGGAAGAAGAAGGAGGAGGAUGAGGAGGGGAUGAAGGAGGGUGAGAAGGAGAGGGAGGAGGAUGAGGGGAUGAAGAAGGAGGAGAGGAGGCAGGAGGAUGAGGAGUGGAUGAAGGAGGAUGAGGAGGGGAUGAAGGAGGAGGAGGAGGGGAUGAAGGAGGAGGAGGAGGGGAUGAAGGAGGAGGAGGAGGGGAUGAAGGAGGAGGAGGAGGGGAUGAAGGAGGAGGAGGAGGGGAUGAAGGAGGAGGAGGAGGGGAUGAAGGAGGAGGAGGAGGGGAUGAAGGAGGAGGAGGAGGGGAUGAAGGAGGAGGAGGAGGGGAUGAAGGAGGAGGAGGAGGGGAUGAAGGAGGAGGAGGAGGGGAUGAAGGAGGAGGAGGAGGGGAUGAAGGAGGAGGAGGAGGGGAUGAAGGAGGAGGAGGAGGGGAUGAAGGAGGAGGAGGAGGGGAUGAAGGAGGAUGAGGAGGGGAUGAAGGAGGGUGAGAAGGAGAGGGAGGAGGAGAAGGGGAUGAAGAAGGAGGAGGGGAGGGAGGAGGAUGAGGAGGGGAUGGAGGAGAAGGAAGAAGAGGGGAUGGAGGGGAGGAAGAAGACACCACCCCGUAUGUCCUGGCGUGUCCAUGUACCCCCACCACGUCGCUGUGCCCUUGUCCCCGCACACACGUCCCCUUCACCCCAGUGCCACGUGUGUGUCCUCAUCCCUGUGUCCUCACACGUGUCCCUGCACCCCCGACCCACAUGCAUCCGUGUCCCAUGUCCCAUGUGUGUCCCCGCAGCCCCAGGUGUCCCCAGACAUGUCCCCUGUCCCCGCACACGCGUGUCCCACAUAUGUCCUGGUGUCCCCAGGCCAGUCCGUGUCCCCCCCGGCCACACACGUCCCCACACGUGUCCAUGUCUCCUGUCCCUGCACACGUCCCAUGUGUGGCCCCACGCGUUCCCAUGUCCCCACACCACGUGUUCCCACACGUCUGUGUCCCCGCACGCCCGUGGCACAUGUCCCCUGUCCCCACAGACGUGUCCCGCAUGUGUCCAGGUGCCCCCGGGCCGGUCUGUGCCGCCCCCCCCGUGUCCCCACCCCACACNNNN